GAUGAACGCUGGCGGCGUGCUUAACACAUGCCAGUCGAACGGAAAGGCCCAAGCUUGCUUGGGUACUCGAGUGGCGAACGGGUGAGUAACACGUGGGUGAUCUGCCCUGCACUUCGGGAUAAGCCUGGGAAACUGGGUCUAAUACCGGAUAGGACCACAUUUUGGAUGGUGUGGUGGAAAGUUUUUCGGUGUGGGAUGAGCUCGCGGCCUAUCAGCUUGUUGGUGGGGUAAUGGCCUACCAAGGCGUCGACGGGUAGCCGGCCUGAGAGGGUGUACGGCCACAUUGGGACUGAGAUACGGCCCAGACCCCUACGGGAGGCAGCAGUGGGGAAUAUUGCACAAUGGGCGCAAGCCUGAUGCAGCGACGCCGCGUGGGGGAUGACGGCCUUCGGGUUGUAAACUCCUUUCGCUAGGGACGAAGCGUUAUGUGACGGUACCUGGAGAAGAAGCACCGGCUAACUACGUG
rnacentral:rRNA from 1 species